rnacentral:sRNA from 1 species
CCCUAGCCCUGAUAGCAGCGUAAAUCCUUUUUGAGAUUUUCCGCCGAAAAAAGAUUGCAGCGAAUAGCAGGUUCCCGG